rnacentral:rRNA from 1 species
AUUGAACGCUGGCGGCAGGCCUAACACAUGCAAGUCGAACGAGUGGCGGACGGGUGAGUAAUGUCUGGGAAACUGCCCGAUGGAGGGGGAUAACUACUGGAAACGGUAGCUAAUACCGCAUACCAUCGGAUGUGCCCAGAUGGGAUUCGCUAGUAGGUGGGGUAACGGCUCACCUAGGCCACUAUCCCUAGCUGGUCUGAGAGGAUGACCAGCAACAAGGGAACUGAGACAGGGUACAGACUCCUACGGGAGGCAGCAGUGGGGAAUAUUGCACAAUGGGCGCAAGCCUGAUGCAGCCAUGCCGGGUGUAUGAAGAAGGCCUUGGGGUUGUAAAGUACUUUCAGCGAGGAGGCGUUACUCGAAGAAGAAGCACCGGCUAACUCCGUGCCAGCAGCCGCGGUAAUU